rnacentral:rRNA from 1 species
AGAGUUUGAUCCUGGCUCAGGACGAACGCUGGCGGCAUGCCUAAUACAUGCAAGUCGAGCGGAAUGAUGAGAGCUUGCUCUCUGAUUUUAGCGGCGGACGGGUGAGUAACACGUGGGCAACCUGCCCUACAGAUGGGGAUAACUCCGGGAAACCGGGGCUAAUACCGAAUAAUCAGUUUGUCCGCAUGGACAAACUCUGAAAGACGGUUUCGGCUGUCACUGUAGGAUGGGCCCGCGGCGCAUUAGCUAGUUGGUGGGGUAAUGGCCUACCAAGGCAACGAUGCGUAGCCGACCUGAGAGGGUGAUCGGCCACACUGGGACUGAGACACGGCCCAGACUCCUACGGGAGGCAGCAGUAGGGAAUCUUCCACAAUGGACGAAAGUCUGAUGGAGCAAUGCCGCGUGAGCGAAGAAGGUUUUCGGAUCGUAAAGCUCUGUUGUAAGGGAAGAACAAGUACGGGAGUAACUGCCCGUGCCAUGACGGUACCUUAUUAGAAAGCCACGGCUAACUACGUGCCAGCAGCCGCGGUAAUACGUAGGUGGCAAGCGUUGUCCGGAAUUAUUGGGCGUAAAGCGCGCGCAGGCGGUUCUUUAAGUCUGAUGUGAAAGCCCACGGCUCAACCGUGGAGGGUCAUUGGAAACUGGGGAACUUGANUACAGAAGAGGAAAGC